UUACAAGUCUUUUUCUCCCGCCAUUGGAAAAAAGAAACUUCGCCCUUUCGCCUGAUCGACGUUUGAAGAACCGCAGCUGAUUUAGAUUACAGUGUUGGAUUAUCGCGCAGAUUCCUUCUGAUUUUCAGCUGAACGGCUCCUAAAACCCUAGGGUUUUGUGUUUGAAAUUUUCUGCAAGAUGAGAAACCAUGAAGUUUUGCCGGGAAUGUAACGACAUUCUUUAUCCGAAGGAGGACAGAGAUGAGAAGAUUCUUCUCUAUGCGUGUCGCAACUGUGAUCACCAGACGCGUUUUAAAACCUUGAGAGGAAGCUGAUAGUCCAAAGAGGACAAUAUUUGCUAACAGUGGACUUGGACCGUUACAAAUGGUAUCAGAGCCAGACAUUGGACGAUGUGACAGCGAGGAGGCUCAGCGUGCUCAUAAUAAGUGUGUUAUUUUUUUUCUUAAAAAAAAUCUGUUUACAGGAAGUUGCUGAUAAUAACUGUGUAUAGGAAUGAGAUCCAUCAUGCUGUAGGGGAACGCACUCAAGUUCUGCAAGAUGUUGCUGCAGAUCCAACUCUCCCUCGCACUAAAGCUGUCCGAUGUGCUCAAUGUAACCAUGGAGAAGCUGUUUUCUUCCAGGCCACUGCCAGAGGGGAGAAAGGUAUGACAUUGUUCUUCGUUUGCUGCAAUCCAAAUUGUGGCCACAGAUGGAGAGAUUAACAUCACCGAAAUGCAAUCCAAGUUUUAUUAGCAUGUCUGUGUGUCACUAAGUGUUUUAACCAU